GAGCGGCGGACGCGUGAGUAAUACUUAGGAAUCUACCUAGUAGUGGGGGAUAGCACGGGGAAACUCGUAUUAAUACCGCAUACGACCUACGGGAGAAAGGGGGCAGUUUACUGCUCUCGCUAUUAGAUGAGCCUAAGUCGGAUUAGCUAGAUGGUGGGGUAAAGGCCUACCAUGGCGACGAUCUGUAGCUGGUCUGAGAGGAUGAUCAGCCACACCGGGACUGAGACACGGCCCGGACUCCUACGGGAGGCAGCAGUGGGGAAUAUUGGACAAUGGGGGAAACCCUGAUCCAGCCAUGCCGCGUGUGUGAAGAAGGCCUUUUGGUUGUAAAGCACUUUAAGCAGUGAAGAAGACUCCAUGGUUAAUACCCAUGGACGAUGACAUUAGCUGCAGAAUAAGCACCGGCUAACUCUGUGCCAGCAGCCGCGGUAAUACAGAGGGUGCAAGCGUUAAUCGGAAUUACUGGGCGUAAAGGGAGCGUAGGUGGCUCGAUAAGUCAGAUGUGAAAUCCCCGGGCUCAACCUGGGAACUGCAUCUGAUACUGUUGAGCUAUAGUAUGUGAGAGGAAGGUAGGAAUUCCAGGUGUGGCGGUGAAA
rnacentral:rRNA from 1 species